CGCAUAUAGGACCGAUGGU
rnacentral:siRNA from 1 species